GUGCUCUCUUCGGCAUCACAUAUACUAAAAUUGGAAUGAUACAGAGAUUAGCAUGGCCCCUGCGCAAGGCUGACAUGCAAAUUCCUGAAGCGUUUCAUAUUUAA